AAAUUCCUACCCAGGGCAAGAAAGUAACUGCCUGACCUCCAACUAGACAGUAGGUGGGUAUUUUUCAGACUCCAGAGGGACUGCAGGACUCAGGAACAGGAGGCCUUGUCUCUCCUCAGGAGGAAGAGCUGAACAUCAGAAGGAGGAAUGGAACCACUAGCAAGGUGGGAAAUGAACACAACUCACUAUGGUAGGCAAUGUUCUCAGUCAAGGUCCACUUCACUCUGUGUGGACAUGGAGGCUGCUAGAGGUGGAGAAGGUAAUGCAACCAAAUGGACAGGAAUUUCAUGCCAUCCCAGUGUCCUGAAGCCGCCUAAGAGACUCUGGUUAAGGGAACUGAACAUCUAGUCAUUUGCUUCCAGAUUAGAGAAGCUAGAAAUAACAAGGAAUUUUAGAAUUUCUAGCUAGAACAAUACCUAGGUUUUCCUCUGCGCCUGCUUCUGCUGUGAAGGAUUUUGCCGACAGCCAUUUUCCUAUUGCAUUUAGUCCCUGGAGCAGCUUUAUGAGGUAGAGGCUGCCAUAAUUCUCGUCUUAGAGACUGUCUAUGAAAGAUGUCUGUGGAAGACGGAUGUGUCUAAGGGACUUUUCCAGGGCUUUUGGAAGACCACAUGUGUUCACAUCUGUGAAUCCACUGUGGAACCUGUGAGCUGCUCUACAUACGCCAGUGAUCUGCUACUCCACCUGUUCCCCUGUAGGUUUUUGUUUCUCUGCCUGGCAUGACUGUGUCUAAGGUGGAAAGCCUCGAAAACAGAAGGAAAGGGAACUGAGCCAUGGACUGCAUCAAAGUAAACUAUCACCAUGCCUACAAAGUAACUUCAAGGAUCAAGAGACUUACAUCACAAAUCAAAACUAGAUAAAGAACUCCGGCAAGCGAAGAGAGCGCAGUUGCGUAGUAGGUACGGUUGACAACCACCAUCCAGGUCAAGUAACUGGCUACAUUUUGUGUGUAACUAUUCCUAGAGCCAAACAACCUCCAUCUUGGGAAAUUCAGCUCUUCCUGCUUGCAAAAGAAUUAUCCCAGCUAGGCUUUCUGACUGUUUACAUCACCUUAUGGAGGAGUGGACAAUGCUAGAAGACCCUCUCCUGAGAGACCAGGGGCUAUAAGCAUAUGAAUGACUUCAUGGGGAGCUGCAAGAUUCAUAUGACAUCCUUACCACCCAUUGCUGAAUCACCUUUUACAAUGUCACCCAAGCUCACACAAAGCUGGAAAUAUUUGGUAUUUCUACCAACUCAUGGAAAAAUCAUCAAAUGUAUUAGAUAUUUGAAAUGCCUUUGCAGUGGAGAUGAAAUGUCUUUCUAACCAAUAAAAGGGAGUCUUAUGUUUCCCAGGACAGCUAUGAAUGUGUCCAACACAAAAUUGUACACUUACUUAAAACAGCACACAAUAGUUUUUUAGUUGAUUGCAGAUAGCCCUUGAUUUUGAACUUCGUAGAUGACCAUGUUGGGUCACAAAUGUCAAAUUGUUGGACACACCUGUCAGAGUAAAGAGAACUCUGAACCAGUAUAACAAAGUUUAAAAGUAAGAACCCAUCAUUACCUUCAGCUGUAUACCCAUAGGUGGCCCUACCAGGCUUCAGCAGAUAUUUCCAAUCCAAUGCUCACACCCGUAGCUUGAGUUCAACCACAUAGGUAUCAACAACUCAAAAGUCAUCAGUCUGGGAAAGAGAUGAAAUGGGUGGUGAAAGAGAGGUAGGGAAGAUAAAAGGGAAUGGAAAAGCUAGAGUCAUCCAAUUAUAUUGUAUACGUGUAUGAAAUCAAAAAAUUAAAAGAUAUAAAAAGCAAAAAUGAGCAAAGAAAAGUUAAGAUUCUCAAAACAUCCAAGUCAAUAUGUAGGUAACUUAAGAGUAUGCAGGUAAUCUAUUUAAGAAAGCCAACACUUUUUAAAGAAACAUGAGAAAAUCCACAGGUAAUCAAAGCACAAUGCCCUGCAUACACUUGUUAAAGUUUAUAAAAUAUGAAGUAAUAAUAAUAGGAGCCAUAGUAAGAGAAGAAGCAACUGACGGAGGCUCAGAAGUUAUAGGGAGGGUAAGAAAUGAGAAUCCUGGAAUGGCUGUAGAUAUGCGUCAAGAUGGAAGAUUUCUCAGAAACACAAGGAAAACAUACUAAAAGUCUUAAACGCACUUUCUAAGAAUGAAAAACGUAUCACGGAAAGGAAGAACAUAACAGCUGGGCCUCACAAUCUGUGCACACUGAAGAAGAAAAAGUCAGUGACCUUGAAAGGCCGCAUUGUCUAAAAUAAACAGGAUCUGAAUGAGAUAGGAGUAAAAGCACACUGUCUGACACACAUACAUCCAAGUUGUAUAAAGAAAAAGACAGAAGACAUUAGAAAUAUUUGAAGAUUUAAGAACUGUAGAACUAAAGGUCCCUCUAAAAAUUUUUGAUGUAAAUUAAAAGUCUACAGAUCUGAGACCAUACACACACACAC
rnacentral:sRNA from 1 species